rnacentral:rRNA from 1 species
UACGUAGGUGGCAAGCGUUGUCCGGAAUUACUGGGUGUAAAGGGAGCGUAGGCGGGAAUACAAGUUGGAUGUCUAAUCUACCGGCUUAACCGGUAUUCGCAUUCAAAACUGUAUUUCUUGAGUGAAGUAGAGGCAGGCGGAAUUCCUAGUGUAGCGGUGAAAUGCGUAGAUAUUAGGAGGAACACCAGUGGCAAAGGCGGCCUGCUGGGCUUUAACUGACGCUGAGGCUCGAAAGCGUGGGUAGCAAACAGG